UCAGUUGGCCGGACGGCCGCUGCCGGACGGGGCGUUAUGGCCCAGCAAGCGUGCGGUGGAGGAAAGUCCGGGCACCUUGGAAACAGGAUGGCGGUUAACGGCCGCCGGGGGCGACCCCAGGGAAAGUGCCACAGAGAACAGACCGCCCGAGGGCUUCGGUCCGACGGUAAGGGUGAAACGGUGCGGUAAGAGCGCACCGCGGCUCCGGUAACGGCGCCGGCACGGCAAACCCCAUCCGGUGCAAGACCAAAUAGGGAUGGCCAGCAGGUGGAGAAAUCCAGCCUGCAAGCCCGUUUCCAGGCCCGCCAUCCGGGUUGGUUGCUCGAGGCGUCCAGCAAUGGGCGUCCCAGAUGAAUGGCCGUCGCGGAGGCAACUCCAGACAGAACCCGGCUUACAGGCCAACUGAUUUU
rnacentral:RNase_P_RNA from 1 species